rnacentral:rRNA from 1 species
CCUACGGGCGGCUGCAGUAGGGAAUAUUGGACAAUGGGCGAAAGCCUGAUCCAGCAAUGCCGCGUGAGUGAUGAAGGCCUUAGGGUUGUAAAGCUCUUUUACCCGGGAUGAUAAUGACAGUACCGGGAGAAUAAGCCCCGGCUAACUCCGUUCCAGCAGCCGCGGUAAUACGGAGGGGGCUAGCGUUGUUCGGAAUUACUGGGCGUAAAGCGCACGUAGGCGGCGAUCUAAGUCAGAGGUGAAAGCCCGGGGCUUAGCCCCGGAAUAGCCUUUGAGACUGGAUUGCUAGAAUCCGGGAGAGGUGAGUGGAAUUCCGAGUGUAGAGGUGAAAUUCGUAGAUAUUCGGAAGAACACCAGUGGCGAAGGCGGCUCACUGGACCGGCAUUGACGCUGAGGUGCGAAAGCGUGGGGAGCAAACAGGAUUAGAUACCCCGGUAGUCUUA